CUCUGUAAGGUUGAGUUCCUUGGCCAGUUCAGUAUUAUCCCUCUCCAGAUGUUCCAAUCGAUACUUUAGCAAGUCGAUCUCCUCUUUCUCCAUCACCGAAGCAUCGAGGUUGGAAUUAAUGAGGCUCUCCAGACAUUGACCCACUUGUGCAAGGUAUCUCAAGGCAUCAAUAGAUCGUUUCUCCCCCUCUUUUCACUGAGAAAUAACUUUUCGACUGGUGAUAGGAGGUUCCUUAAGUAUUCCACCAC
rnacentral:lncRNA from 1 species